AUGAACGCUGACAGAAUGCUUAACACAUGCACGUCAACUUGAACUUCGGUUUGGGUGGCGGACGGGUGAGUAACGCGUAAAGAACUUGCCUCACAGAUAGGGACAACAUUUGGAAACGAAUGCUAAUACCUGAUAUUAUGAUUUUAGGGCAUCCUAGGAUUAUGAAAGCUAUAUGCGCUGUGAGAGAGCUUUGCGUCCCAUUAGCUAGUUGGAGAGGUAACGGCUCACCAAGGCGAUGAUGGGUAGCCGGCCUGAGAGGGUGAUCGGCCACAAGGGGACUGAGACACGGCCCUUACUCCUACGGGAGGCAGCAGUGGGGAAUAUUGGACAAUGGACCAAGAGUCUGAUCCAGCAAUUCUGUGUGCACGAUGAAGUUUUUCGGAAUGUAAAGUGCUUUCAGUUGGGAAGAAAAAAAUGACGGUACCAACAGAAGAAGUGACGGCUAAAUACGUG
rnacentral:rRNA from 1 species